rfam:Clostridiales bacterium 42_27 Ley3_66761_scaffold_1484, whole genome shotgun sequence.
CUAUACGGCUUCGCCAGCUCUCCAUGAUAUCAGCUUCGGAGCCAGAUCAAAAAGGAGGAAUACCGCAGGCCUGCGGUGCGGCAGUGUGGAGACCUGCCGUAAGCCGUGUUGUUUUGACAACCGGGAGAAAGCGUAUGCGGAGGCAGCGCUUUCAGGGUCUUAUUGCCAUGGCA